GGAGUAGCAGUAGAGUAUCAGAAGUAUCAGAAGCAAAAAAGUAAAUGUAUGAUUUGCAAAGCAUAACAAAAUGAAAAUAAGCUUCUGCAGUCAUGGAAGUUCAGAAUUGGAAAACAACUUAGAUUAUUUAUUCCAACCUCAUCGAAAAAGAGAUAAAGACAUGGAAUUCAGGAAAAGUGGUGAGGAAGCAAAUUCAGAAAUGUAUGACUAGGAAUAUGGAAGCAACUGAAUAUGAGGUAAUGCUGUUUUAAUUAGUACCAAAUG
rnacentral:lncRNA from 1 species